rnacentral:misc_RNA from 1 species
GAAAUGCGAUAAGUAAUGUGAAUUGCAGAAUUCAGUGAAUCAUCGAAUCUUUGAACGCACCUUGCGCUCCUUGGUAUUCCUUGGAGCAUGCCUGUUUGAGUAUCAUGAAAUCUUCAAAGUAAAUCUUUUGUUAACUCAAUUGGUUUCUACUUUGGUAUUGGAGGUCUUUGCAGCUUCACACCUGCUCCUCUUUGUUCAUUAGCUGGAUCUCAGUGUUAUGCUUGGUUCCACUCGGCGUGAUAAGUUAUCUAUCGCUGAGGACACUGUAAAAGGUGGCCAAGGUAAAUGCAGAUGAACCGCUUCUAAUCGUCCAUUGCCUUGGACAAUACUUUUAUGAUCUGAUCUCAAAUCAGGUAGGACUACCCGCUGAACUUAAGC